rnacentral:lncRNA from 1 species
GAAGGGCAGCAGAAUACAACAUAGACUAGUAUGGCAGUAAGUAAAAAAGUGGAUGUGUAACCGAUGUGAUUCUGCAAUCUGUAUUUGGGGUAAAAAUGGGAGUUCAUAAUCCACUUGAAUCAAAUGUAUAAAAUAUGAUAUGUCAAGAGCUUUGUAAUGUUUUGAACAACUAAUAAUAAAAAAAUUUCAAAAAUCUACAAGACUUUAUAGUAGUCAGAAGAAAAUACUUUCCCAAGCCUAAUAUUGAAUGUAUAAAAAUUUUAUGAAUAACAGAUUAUUAGCUUAUCUGAUAUACACUUAUGUGCCACACAAUAAAGCUUCACUUAAAGAUAUUUUGUUCAAUAACAGGACACACAUACAUCAGCUAAUCUGCUCUAAACAGAUGGAUAAACUCUUAUAUAUUCAUGUAUAUGUCAGGUUAUAUAGUAUCCUGAACUGAGUCCUCUGAAUUCUUGCCAAUCCACAAUAUUAAAUAUGUUCCUUACGUGUCUGUUAUUUGUUAUAUUAAUUUCCCUAAAUGUAAUGAGGGACAGCAAAAUUAUUGCUGAAGUGUGCAGAAAAUUGA